rnacentral:lncRNA from 1 species
AAUUUUUAUUUUCAUCUGAGAGAAAAGCUAAAGUCGAUCAUGUUGGCUUAAAUUAGCCAGCAUUCUGUCCUGUGGCGGGAGGCCAUGUUGGACCGAGUCAUGUUCGAAAUGGCGUGAGGUUGGGUGGGUCGAGUCAUGUUCAAAGUGGCGUGAGGUAGGACAAGUCACAAUAGAUACCCGUGGGCGUUGUUUCUGUACACUUCAAGUGAAUUGGUUGCGUAUUUCUAAUAGCUCGAGCUUUUGGGAUUAAUGGUUAGCGCCAACGAUCCGAUAAGUGGUAUCAGAGCCAAAGGUCACGGGUUCAAUUCCUGCAUGCUACAAAUAUGUGCAGGUGCUGGAGGGGGAAUUGUUGGCUUAAAUGGGUCAGCGGCGUGAGGCUGGGUAGGCCGAGUCAUGUUCGAAGUGGCGUAAGGCUGGGUAGGUCGAGUCACAAUCGAUACCCGUGGGCGCUGUUUUUGUACGCUUUAAGUGAAUUGAUUGCGUAUUUCUAACAGCUCAAACUUUUGGAAUUAAUGGUUAGCGCCAACGAUCCGACAGAUCACUAUACAUAUGUUAAUUAAAAGUGAACAAUC